rnacentral:misc_RNA from 1 species
UUAAGUUCAGCGGGUAUUCCUACCUGAUCCGAGGUCAACCUUGGUAAAAAGGGGGUGUUUUACGGCAAGAACCCGCCGCACGCCCAGAGCGAGAUGUGCUACUGCGCUCGGUGUGACUAGCGAGCCCGCCACUGGUUUCAGGGCCUGCGGACAGCCGCAGGACCCCAACACAAGCAGGGCUUGAUGGUUGAAAUGACGCU